CCCUACGGGGUGCACCAGGCGCGAAACCUCUGCAAUAAGCGAAAGCUUGACAGGGUUACUCUGAGUGAUUUCCGCUAAGGAAGUCUUUUGGCACCUCUAAAAAUGGUGCAGAAUAAGGGGUGGGCAAGUCUGGUGUCAGCCGCCGCGGUAA
rnacentral:rRNA from 1 species